UGGCGGCGUGGUUAAGACAUGCAAGUCGCACGGAGAAUCUUUGAAGCUUGCUUUUAAGAUUCUUAGUGGCGCACGGGUGAGUAACACGUGAGUUACAUGCCCUGCAGAGGGGAAUAGCCCGCCGAAAGGCGGAUUAAUACCCCAUGGUCCCGCAAGGGUAAAGGUGGCUUCGGCUGCCGCUGCAGGAUUGGCUCGCGUCCUAUCAGCUUGUUGGUAAGGUAACGGCUUACCAAGGCAACGACGGGUAGCUGGUCUGAGAGGACGAUCAGUCACACUGGAACUGAGACACGGUCCAGACACCUACGGGUGGCAGCAGUCGAGAAUAAUUCACAAUGGACGAAAGUCUGAUGGUGCAACGCCGCGUGGAGGAUGACGGUCUUCGGAUUGUAAACUCCUGUCAUUUGAGAGUAAGACCUGGCGGUCAAUAGCCGACAGGGUUGAUAGUAUCAAAAGAGGAAGGGACGGCUAACUUCGUGCCAGCAGCCGCGGUAAUACGAAGGUCCCGAGCGUUGUUCGGAAUCACUGGGCGUAAAGGGAGCGUAGGCGGUUUGGUAAGUCAGAUGUGAAAUCCCGGGGCUCAACCCCGGAACUGCAUCCGAUACUGCCAGACUUGAGUAAUGGAGGGGUAACUGGAAUUCUCGGUGUAGCAGUGAAAUGCGUAGAUAUCGAGAGGAACACUCGUGGCGAAGGCGAGUUACUGGACAUUUACUGACGCUGAGGCUCGAAGGCUAGGGUAGCGAAAGGGAUUAGAUACCCCUGUAGUCCUAGCAGUAAACGGUGUGCGCUUGGUGUGAGGGGUUUCGACCCCCCUUGUGCCGGAGCUAACGCGUUAAGCGCACCGCCUGGGGAGUACGGUCGCAAGACUAAAACUCAAAGAAAUUGACGGGGAC
rnacentral:rRNA from 1 species